CACGUAGGGUGCGAGCGUUGUCCGGAAUUAUUGGGCGUAAAGAGCUCGUAGGCGGUGUGUCGCGUCGGCCGUGAAAACCUGCAGCUUAACUGUGGGCUUGCGGUCGAUACGGGCAUCACUGGAGUUCGGCAGGGGAGACUGGAAUUCCUGGUGUAGCGGUGAAAUGCGCAGAUGUCAGGAGGAACACCGGUGGCGAAGGCGGGUCUCUGGACCAAUACUGACGAUCAGGUGCGAAAGCGUGGGGAGCAAACAGG
rnacentral:rRNA from 1 species